rnacentral:rRNA from 1 species
ACGGCGAGUGAAGCGGCAACAGCUCAAAUUUGAAAUCUGGCCCCAGGCCCGAGUUGUAAUUUGCAGAGGAUGCUUUUGGCGCGGUGCCUUCCGAGUUCCCUGGAACGGGACGCCAUAGAGGGUGAGAGCCCCGUACGGUUGGACACCAAGCCUUUGUAAAGCUCCUUCGACGAGUCGAGUAGUUUGGGAAUGCUGCUCAAAAUGGGAGGUAUAUUUCUUCUAAAGCUAAAUAUUGGCCAGAGACCGAUAGCGCACAAGUAGAGUGAUCGAAAGAUGAAAAGCACUUUGAAAAGAGGGUUAAACAGCACGUGAAAUUGUUGAAAGGGAAGCGCUUGUGACCAGACUUGCGCCCGGUGAAUCACCCAGCUCUCGCGGCUGGGGCACUUUGCCGGCACAGGCCAGCAUCAGCUUGCCGUCGGGGACAAAAGCUUCGGGAACGUAGCUCUCUUCGGGGAGUGUUAUAGCCCGUUGCAUAAUACCCUUCGGCGGGCUGAGGUACGCGCUCCGCAAGGAUGCUGGCGUAAUGGUCAUCAGCGACCCGUCUUGAAACACGGACCAAGGAGUCAACCUUAUGUGCGAGUGUUUGGGUGUUAAACCCCUACGCGUAAUGAAAGUGAACGCAGGUGAGAGCUUCGGCGCAUCAUCGACCGAUCCUGAUGUUCUCGGAUGGAUUUGAGUAAGAGCAUAUAGGGUUGGACCCGAAAGAAGGUGAACUAUGCGUGUAUAGGGUGAAGCCAGAGGAAACUCUGGUGGAGGCUCGCAGCGGUUCUGACGUGCAAAUCGAUCGUCAAAUAUGCGCAUGGGGGCGAAAGACUAAUCGAACCUUCUAGUAGCUGGUUUCC